UACAGAGGUCUCAAGCGUUGUUCGGAUUCAUUGGGCGUAAAAGGGUGCGUAGGUGGCGCUGUAAGUCGGGUGUGAAAUUUCGGAGCUUAACUCCGAAACUGCAUUCGAUACUGCGGUGCUUGAGGACUGGAGAGGAGACUGGAAUUUAUGGUGUAGCAGUGAAAUGCGUAGAGAUCAUAAGGAAGACCAGUGGCGAAGGCGGGUCUCUGGACAGUUCCUGACACUGAGGCACGAAGGCCAGGGGAGCGAACAGG
rnacentral:rRNA from 1 species